rnacentral:rRNA from 1 species
UACGUAGGGUGCGAGCGUUAAUCGGAAUUACUGGGCGUAAAGCGUGCGUAGGUGGUUUGUUAAGUCUGAUGUGAAAGCCCUGGGCUCAACCUGGGAAUUGCAUUGGAUACUGGCAGGCUAGAGUGCGGUAGAGGGUAGUGGAAUUCCCGGUGUAGCAGUGAAAUGCGUAGAGAUCGGGAGGAACACCAGUGGCGAAGGCGACUACCUGGACCAGCACUGACACUGAGGCACGAAAGCGUGGGGAGCAAACAGG